rnacentral:rRNA from 1 species
UACGGGGGGAGCAAGCGUUGUUCGGAUUUACUGGGCGUAAAGGGCGCGUAGGCGGCACCGCAAGUCGAUUGUGAAAUCUCCGGGCUUAACCCGGAAAGGUCAACCGAUACUGCGGGGCUAGAGUGCAGAAGGGGCAACUGGAAUUCUUGGUGUAGCGGUGAAAUGCGUAGAUAUCAAGAGGAACACCUGCGGCGAAGGCGGGUUGCUGGGCUGACACUGACGCUGAUGCGCGAAAGCUAGGGGAGCGAACGGG